UCCUUCUCUUUCUUUUCCUCUUAAUCUAGUUUAACGCACCCGAGCCCGGUUUAAGUUUUGGACUUUGGAGAAUCCGACGCAGACCAAAAGUUUCGCAGAAAAAUGAGACCCAACGUUUUCACAGAGAUUCACAAGGUUAGCCGGUUCAUCGAGACAAUCGUUGCAACAGCAUGUCAUUAUAGAAAGUUAUUGGCAAACAACAGUGUCAGAAGAGACUCCAUACUUCAGUCAGAACGUUCUUCCAUGGUUAAAUUUGUAAGAUGGUCACCUCCAACAAUGAAGCAAAAAUUUAAAAUUAACACACAUGCAAGUCUUUCAGAACAAUAUGUUUUCUUGGGAUAUGUUCUCUUUGACCAUCGUGGCAUACAUCUUUUACGGCGUGCAAAAGCUAUAAAAAUUGAAAAUGAAAAACCCAAUAUAGUGGAGGCUGAGGCAAGAGUAUUAGAAUUAGCUUUAUUUGACUUA